rnacentral:misc_RNA from 1 species
GAAUUAAAUUAAAGAACUAUUGAAGAAUUAAAGAAAAAGAAAAAGAAUAAAAAUGUGACUUAUUACAUUAUGAUGAUGACAUCAUAUAAGAUGUCAAAAUUAAUUUUAAUUUUUCAACCUUUUUGACCAAGUCAAAUAGCUAAAUAAUUACAAAAAAAAAAUAAAAGGAAAAGAAAAUAGGAUUAUGACAUCACCCAAAUGACAUCAUGCAUGACAUUAAAAAUAAAUUUUAUUUAAUUUAAUCUUUGACCAAGUCAAUUAUGUGGCAUAAAAACAAAAAUUCAAAAAGAUUUUUUUUACUUUUUCUUUUUCUUAUUCUCGUAGCUCUCUUCUCUCCCUCUUUUCUUAUUUUGUUCCACCAUUAAAGCUUAGAUUUAAGCUUCUUAAACUUUAGAUUUCACCCCCUAAUCUUUGAGAAUAAUUAUAGAAACCAUUAAAUUGACCCUCAAGAAGAAGAUUUGGAGCAAGAAAUUAAAAGAAUUUGAAGAUUUGAGGGAGAUUGAAAAAGCUUCAAUUAAGGUAAGUUUCCUCUUUUAAUUUGAAUUUGAAUUGAAUUUUUAGUAUGAAAUUGUGGUUAAACAAGAGUUUAAUUGCAUAAAAACAUGAAAAAAAUUUUCAUGUUGAGGGACUAAACUAAUUUUCGGCUAGCUUGGUUAUGAGGAUGAUUUGCAUGAAUUGAAUGGUUUGAAAGGGGUAUAUAAACCUUAGUUAGUUGAAUGACUAUGGUUAAAGGCGUGGAAUCAAGUAAAUGCAAAACUUAGUGUGAAUUAGGGUUUGGACAUUAGGGUUUAGGGACCAAAAAUGUGAAGAAGUGCUAAAUGAUGUCUUUGACAUAGUUUAAGGAAAGAAAUGGUCAUUUGUGACCUAAUUAAGUGUGUUAGAAGUGUUGGAAUUAAAGCCAAAUUCGGAGGAAGUGUGGUCAUGCUAUUUCUUUUGAGGGACCAAAAAUGAAAUUU